GUUGUACCAUUGGAACAUUUGCGACAAUUAAGGAGAAGCAACGGUUGUUCUAGAGUGACUGGUCGGCGGCAAGCAGAUCCACGCGAUGAUGGUUAAAGACGGUUCUGUGUCAUGGAUUAGCGAUUCAUUUUUUGGUGUCGAAUCAUUUGAAUUGGGCUCGACGUUGAUCAGGAUUACCGAGAAGAUUGGAGAUUAGUGGAAACUAAAAGAGAA
rnacentral:lncRNA from 1 species